rnacentral:rRNA from 1 species
CCUACGGGGGGCAGCAGUGGGGAAUAUUGCACAAUGGGCGCAAGCCUGAUGCAACCAUGCCGCGUGUGUGAAGAAGGCCUUCGGGUUGUAAAGCACUUUCAGCGGGGAGGAAGGCGGUGAGGUUAAUAGCCUCAUCGAUUGACGUUACCCGCAGAAGAAGCACCGGCUAACUCCGUGCCAGCAGCCGCGGUAAUACGGAGGGUGCAAGCGUUAAUCGGAAUUACUGGGCGUAAAGCGCACGCAGGCGGUCUGUCAAGUCGGAUGUGAAAUCCCCGGGCUCAACCUGGGAACUGCAUUCGAAACUGGCAGGCUAGAGUCUUGUAGAGGGGGGUAGAAUUCCAGGUGUAGCGGUGAAAUGCGUAGAGAUCUGGAGGAAUACCGGUGGCGAAGGCGGCCCCCUGGACAAAGACUGACGCUCAGGUGCGAAAGCGUGGGGAGCAAACAGGAUUAGAUACCCGAGUAGUC